rnacentral:piRNA from 1 species
UGUCAAGGAUAGCCUUUCUCUUUGGUUUA